rnacentral:lncRNA from 1 species
CAAGGGCUGUACAGUUCCUGGAGCUGGGCAGUCUUCUCAGAGUGGAGCCUGGUAACCGCGACCUCCCCGCCAGUUCCUGUGUGUUGCUGGCUGGAAAGGGGUAGUUGACAAACUCCCACCCAGCACAGUAUUUAUGUCGGUCAAAAAUGGAAAACUAUGUGUCCGGGCACGGCCCAGGAAGGAGGAUUCCUUCAGGCCAAGAGCAGCCUAGCAAUAUGGCGCAACCCCACCUCUGUAGUCCAACCUCAGCCUCCCAGCUACUUGAACCCCAAGAUUCAAGGCUCCAAUGAGCUGUGAUCUCACCACAGCACUCCUGCCUGCGAGACUGAGAGACCAAAGACCAACAAACUACCACAGCCACCAGUUCCGGAACCUGCCAAUGAUGGGCAACGGAAAGUGAGGGAGUUCAACUCUGUAAAGGAAGAAUGGUAUGCCAGAAUCACUAAAUGAAGAAAGAUGGUGGAUCAGCUUUUCUGCAAAAAAAUUUGGUUCCUGAAAGGGAGAGAGGAAAUCUUAGAUUUGUCAUUGCUGGGAACCACUGCAAGUAUUCAAGAAAUAUUCACUACUUCCAACCUCAUAAUCCUGCAGUCAUUUGUUACCUGUGAGUCAGGUGCGGGGGGAGCUGGGCAGUGCAGAAGACAGUGCCCUGCCCCGUGCAUUCUGGAGCAUUCAAUCUGCUGGGGAAACGUAUACUGAAGCCUUGGGGAGCACUGAAGCCAAGGUUCUACUGUACCAAAAAUUUGAAGGCCAUGCGAAUGAUCUGUAUGCGGAAGGACUACCAGAAAACAUUCCUUUCAGAAGUCCCUCGUGGUAUGGAAUCCCAAGGCUGGAAAACAUCAUUCAAGUGGGCAAUCGAAUUAAAUUUCUUAUUAAAAGUAACUCCAGUCAGACUCCAUUGUCUCCAGGUCGACUUUCGUCAUCAUCCACAACUCCUCCACACAAGCCCUGAACACGUGUCCAUCUCAAGCUCUUGGACUCACUGAGGCAGUAAAAGUACCAUAUUCUGUGUUUGAAUCAAACCCCGAGUUCCUGUAUGUAGAAGGCUUGCCAGACAGAAUUUCCUUUCCAAGCCCUACCUGGUUUGGAAUUCCAUGACUUGAAAGGAUCGUCUGUGGAGUAAUAAAACCAAGUUUGUUGUUAAAAAGUAAGUUCCAGGCCAGGUAUGGUGGCUCACGCCUGUAAUCCCAGCACUUUGGGAGGCCAAGGCAGGUGAAUCACCUGAGGUCAGGAGUUCAAGACCAGCCUGACCAACAUAUCUACUAAAAAUGUUAAAAAUUAGCCAGGCAUGUUGGCUGGUGCCUGUAAUCCCAGCUACUUGGGAGCCUGAAGCAGGAGAAUCGCUUGAAUCUGGGAGGCAGAGGCUGCAGUGAGCCCAGAUCACAGCACUGUACUCUAGCCUGGGCGACAGAGUGAGACUCUGCCUCGACAACAACAACAACAAUAUUAAAAAAGUAAGUUAUAUUUGCCACUGUAGUCAUUUCUGGAAUUAAAACAAUAAAAUGAUAUUUCUACUAAAAUGUUUUUCUAGCUAGAGGUGACAGGCGUGGCUGUAAGUCCUUGAUGGAAAAGCCUGGCUCUGAGCUGCAGUCCUGGCACUCUCCAUUGCCCCUGCAGUCCCCCAUCCUGUACUCAGCUGUCUUUGUCAGUGCAAGAAUAGUGACCACUGCCUCCAUGGUGUUGAGAGGCACCAUGGUGGCUCACAGUACACCUAAGUACUUGAAUGAAGUCUAAUUUGCUGGGUUUUA